rfam:Anopheles merus strain MAF unplaced genomic scaffold supercont2.266, whole genome shotgun sequence.
GUAUCUUUAACUCCUAUCCCAACCUCCUCAUGGUGCUAGCUGGAUUAUAAUUGAAGAAUGCAGAUGUAUUGCUUCACAAUUAUAAACUAAUAGGGAUGG